GACGAACCGUGCGAACGUUGUUCGGAAUCACUGGGCAUAAAGGGCGCGUAGGCGGGCUACCAAGUCUGUGGUGAAAUCCUCCGGCUCAACCGGAGAACUGCCGUGGAUACUGGGAGCCUCGAGGGAGAUAGGGGCGUGCGGAACUGAUGGUGGAGCGGUGAAAUGCGUUGAUAUCAUCAGGAACCCCGGUGGCGAAGGCGGCACGCUGGAUCUCAUCUGACGCUGAUGCGCGAAAGCCAGGGGAGCAAACGGG
rnacentral:rRNA from 1 species